UUAAUCAGAUCCCUAGUUAUAUUUAUGGCCAACUGGCUUUCUCAUUAUGAUCAAAAUCAUGCAAAAAAAAAGAAAAUGACUUCAAAUUUGCUGUAUUCUUGCAUGAACGUCGCAAGGAGGCAUUGACUAUUUGAUAGACAUAGGAAAAGAAGCUACAAGAACUAGAUGGAUUCAUUGAGAAUAAUUCAAGGUGACUACUUGAAGUUCAGAUGUGUACAAUUUUUGAGAAUGAAACAAUUGAAACUCUACAUAGUUAAGAAGUGUCUAUUUUAGAAGAAGAUCACUGCUGAAGAUAACGUUACAUAGAAAGGAAUGGUGUUAAAAUCAAUCUACUCUGAGGAUUCAAUACUCCAAGUAUGCCAGAAGAGGGAAAUUCCACAACCCCUAGGCACUGUUCUUUGAAAGAAGGUUAGUGCUUUGAAUG
rnacentral:lncRNA from 1 species